GACGAACGCUGGCGGCGUGCUUAACACAUGCAAGUCGAGCGGUAAGGCCCUUUCGGGGGUACACGAGCGGCGAACGGGUGAGUAACACGUGGGUGACCUGCCCUCAGCUCUGGGAUAAGCCUGGGAAACCGGGUCUAAUACUGGAUAUGACUCCAUGACGCAUGUUGUGGGGUGGAAAGCCUUGUGCGGCUGAGGAUGGGCCCGCGGCCUAUCAGCUUGUUGGUGGGGUGANGGGCCUACCAAGGCGACGACGGGUAGCCGGCCUGAGAGGGCGACCGGCCACACUGGGACUGAGACACGGCCCAGACUCCUAUGGGAGGGCAGCAGUGGGGAAUCUUGCGCAAUGGGCGAAAGCCUGACGCAGCGACGCCGCGUGAGGGAUGACGGCCU
rnacentral:rRNA from 1 species